GAACACAAAAUGGCGACACGUGGUUAGCAUUCGUCGCCAACGAGAAAUUGGGGUCGGCCCGAAAGCUCUAGAAUGCACCCCUCUUCCUCCCCGGGGCCUUCCACCUCCGCGAGUUUUAUGACUUAAAAAAGCCCACAGGCUGGUCUGAAGGUCGGAGGCCUAAUUUUAACGCGUUUUCCUCCCUUUAAUUUGAAACGGGAACGCGAAUGACUGUAAAAUAGGAAGACAAACAUAAAGAUGAAGUGCUUAAUUCAAGGUCACACAAUGUCGGGGAUGGACCUCCAGAUUUCCUUACUGGAAAACAAGCUCAGGGCUCCCACUGAUUGUACAUUAUGAGACGGAGUCUUGCUAUGUUGCCCAGGCUGGUCUUGAACUCCUCACCUCAAGCGAUCCUCCCGUCUUGGCCUCCCAAGUGUCAGGAUUACGGGCAUGUGCUAUCACACCCAACCUGAUACAUUGCCUUUAUAAAUUUUUUUUUCUUUAUUCUAAAAACCAGAAAAAACAAAACUGGAUACAUGUGCAGAACAUGCAGACCAAGUGUGUUGGGGACUUGAGAUGCGUACAUGAGUGUGAUGUUUCCUGCUGAAAGCACAGGUGAGACGUGGUCUUGUAACACAGUGGUUAAGAAUGUGACUUUGGAGCCAGCCUGCUAGGGGCUGAAUUCUGACUCAGCCAUUUACUAACUGUGUGACCUUAGGCUGGAGUGCAAUGGCAUGAUCUCGGCUCAUCACAACCUCUGCUUCCUGGGUUCAAGCGAUUCUCCUGCCUCAGCCUCCCGAGUACCUGGGACUACAGGCACUCGCCACCAU
rnacentral:lncRNA from 1 species